rnacentral:rRNA from 1 species
GUGAACCGGACACCGCGAGGAUUGACAGACUGCGAGCUGUUUCUCGAUUCGGUGGGUGGUGCAUGGCCGUUCUUAGUUGGUGGAGCGAUCUGUCUGGUUAAUUCCGAUAACGAACGAGGCCCCAACCUGCUAACUAGCCCUCGGGUCCCGCUUCUGUUGGGCCCGACGGAAUGAUUCGCUUCUUAGAGGGACUCGCGGCGCCUAGCCGCACGAAGGGGGGCGAUAA